rnacentral:rRNA from 1 species
CCUGGUGGGUAGUUUAACUGGGGCGGUUGCCUCCUAAAAUGUAACGGAGGCGCCCAAAGGUUUCCUCAGCCUGGUUGGUAAUCAGGUGGUGAGUGUAAGUGCACAAGGGGGCUUGACUGUGAGACUGACAGGUCGAGCAGGGACGAAAGUCGGGACUAGUGAUCUGACGGUGGCUUGUGGAUGCGCCGUCACUCAACGGAUAAAAGGUACCCCGGGGAUAACAGGCUGAUCUUCCCCAAGAGUCCAUAUCGACGGGAUGGUUUGGCACCUCGAUGUCGGCUCGUCGCAUCCUGGGGCUGGAGUAGGUCCCAAGGGUUGGGCUGUUCGCCCAUGAAAGCGGUACGCGAGCUGGGUUCAGAACGUCGUGAGACAGUUCGGUCCAUAUCCGGUGUAGGCGUUAGAAUAUUGAGAGGAGCCUUCUUUAGUACGAGAGGACCGAGAAGGACAUACCUCUGGUGUACCAGUUAUCGUGCCAACGGUAAACGCUGGGUAGCUAUGUAUGGAGUGGAUAACCGCUGAAAGCAUCUAAGUGGGAAGCCCACCUCAAGAUAAGUAUUCUCAUCACGUAAGUGAGUAAGGUCACGGUAAGACUAACCGUUUGAUAGGCAUUAAGUGUAAGUACAGUAAUGUAUGUGCUGAGAUGUCCUAAUAGACCGAGGACUUG